CAGUCUAUCAUUAAGUCUUUUUAUUCUACCACUGAUUUCAUAGCGGUGUUUGAUAGGUCUAAAGAAAGGAGGAUUGGUUACCUUCAGCAAGCUGCCACCUUCGAAGAUGCAAAGAUCGAUGAUAUCGUCAGCGUCGUACAUGACAUCCUUCAACUCCCUCACCCAGGUGUCCAUGUCCGGAUCUACAUGCCUUCUUUGCUCUGCAGUGCGAAGAAAGCCUUUGAUCCUCGUCAACCUUCUCUCCAGAGUUUUGACCUCCGCCCCCACGUAUAGCACUUUGCAUAUCUCUCCCUCCGCGAAGUUGGUUAUCUUUUCGAGGAACCUUUCUACGAAAAACUCUAACACCAUUGCCAUCUCGUAACACAGCUCAAGAAGAUCUAAGGCAGUGUCUCCAAAGUGAAGAUCUGAUUCCUCAUUUAUAGAGAUAAGAUCAGAAUCAGGGCCCCAUUUCCGUAAGAGAAGUCUUCCACAGCAUGCAUGCACCUAUUGGUCCAAUUUCCUACUUCUUUGACACUGUUAUGAAAUAAAUAGUCUGCCUUAUUUUCUUAUGACUUGUUGCUGUUUGUUUAUUAUGUGAUGAAAUAAAGCAACAAUAUAUAUAUAUAUAUAUAUAUUAUGCUAAGAAAAACUUACGUGACAAACAUUGUAGAGUGGAAAGAGCAACAAAGAAUAUAGAAUGGAGACAAACAUAUUCUUAUUCAAGUGUAUAUUUGAGAAAAAUACAUAAACAUUUAAAAGAAUAUAGAAUGGAGCAACUUUUAAAACAAACUAGUCACGAAUGUAUAUUACAAAUAAUAGAUAAUGUAAAACUAAUACAUGCAAAGUACCAAAUAUCAAUCUAAUGAACAUGCAAUCGCAAGUUCUGUGGAAGUAACGAGAAUAGUGUUGUUAAAGCUUUCACCACUUACAGAAAGUUUGAUUGUGCCGUCCCACAAGCCGGGGCAAAAACCUUGCCUGCCCUUAUCCCCAGGAGAGAGUACUAUUUCCAAGGUAUAAUAAGAUUUUAGCUGAGGUAAAUCUAUUAGGACUAGAAUUGACAACCUAUUACUCAUGAAUAGAGUAGUAAUUAGACUAGUGAUGAUAACAUUAUUGUGGCUAGCGAGGUCAAGGAACUCACUGGUUCAUCUAAUAUAUUAUAAAUAUAAGUAAGUUGGUCAUGAAAUGUUCCGUAGUUUCUAUGACAUGGUCAUCUUUGUUUAAUUCUCACCAUCUACUCUAUCAAUGAAAAGCCGCAUUGAAUUCCUAUACCAGAUCUCAUCCUGUUAUUCCUCUCGAUUCCAAUGGCAGGCAUGGUAAGCUAUCAUCUAAAUGCUCUUUCCUUAUGACUUGGUCCUCGCCAUUCCAUAUGCCAGCACCUUUCACACUGUAUAUGUGAUGAAAUAAAUAGUCUGCAUGCUGUCAAAACAUGUGUUUGGAAACUCAUCACCAUUUCUCUCUACAGCUCAAGAAUAACUAGUUGAUUGGUUGUGACUUGGUCGUCGUUGUUUAAUUGCCCAGCCCUUACUCUUCUAUCAAAGAUAAGUCGGAGAUGUUAAUGCUCGACUCCCACCGAUUCAAAGUCAAGCCUCACCCUUGAUUUUGAUGUAUGUAAAUUUUCCCAGUAAAGUUUCAAAUACGAGACUGCUCUUUCCAGAACCAAGGCAGCUUCUUCCCAUCUUCUUGUGUCAAUUCCGAGCUCAUAAAGCUGGUGUCAAUUGUGAUGCCCCCUACCAAAGAAAAGUUGGAGACGUUAAUGCCCAACUCCCACCGAUUCAGAGUCGAGCCUCACCCUUGAUUUUGAUGUAUGUGAAUUUUCCGAAGAAAGUUCCAAAUACGAGACUGCUCUUUCCAAAACCAAGCACCUUCUUUCCAUCCUCUUGUGUCAAUUCCGAGCUCAUCAAGCUGGUGUCAAAUGUGAUGCCCUCUAACUUAGGGUGUUGGAGUGGGGGUUUUUGGUCGACUCUCGGCACCCUUUUUUGUUUAUUUUGCUGGCAAGUCUUUGCUUGUUGCAUUCAUUUAUAGUUACAUGUAAGUUCUUUGGGCAAAACUGGCAUUAGCCUCUAUGGAAUGUCAAAUAAAUGUGCUACAAUAAAAAAUUAGCAAUCACGGAUGAGUUCUACCAUUUUUUCUUUCUGUUUCAUCCUGUUUAACUCAAGAUUUGAUUGUUUGAAACGAAUAUAAAUUACAAGUCAAUAGAGGUUCAUCUUUUUGCAUUUGUCAUAGUUUAACCUUGAUCGAUAUCAUACUCAUUCGACUCUAGAGAUAUUAAAUCCCAUAGGAUUGCGUUAGAACGGUUCCCCUCCGAUGUUUAAAUUAAUUUUGAAUUCCUACACCAGAUCUUAGCCUGUUCUUCCUCUCGAUUCCAACGGCAGGCAUGGUAGGCUCUCAUCUAAAUGCUAUUUCUUUAUGACUCCGUCCUCUGGAUUCCAUAUGACAGCUCCCUUCACCCUGCAUAUGUGAUGAAAUAAAUAGUCUGCAUGCUGCACGCGGUGGUUUGUCGCAACAUGUUUUUGGAAACUCAUCACCAUUUCUCACUGCAGCUCAAGAAUGACUAAUUGAUGGUCUCUAGGAUGAUGCAGUUUGUGUUAUCCUUGAUUUGUUGUGACUCGCUCAUCAUUGAUAAAUUGCCAGCCCCCUGCGCUACCAAAGAAAAGUCGGAGAUGUUGAUGCCCAACUCCCACCGACACCAGCUUUGGAUUCCCAGACAAGGCACCUUCUUCCCUGUGUCGAUUCCGAGCUCAUCAAGCUCGUGUCAAAUGUGAUGUCCUCUACCAAAGAAAAGUCGGAGAUGUUGAUGGCCAACUCCCACCGACACCAGCUUUGGAUUCCCAGACAAGGCACCUUCUUCCCAUCCACUUGUGUCGAUUCCGAGCUCAUCAAGCUCGUGUCAAAUGUGAUGCCCUCUAACUUGGGUGUUGGACGGGGGUUUAGGUCGACCCUCGACAUUCUUCUUUGUUUAGCUUGUUGGUUAAUCUUUGCUUGCUGCAUUCAUUUACAGUUACAUGUUACUUUUUGGGCAAAACUGGCAUUAGCCUUUGUGGAAUGUCAUAUAAAUGUGUUAAAUUAACAAUCACGUAUGAGUUACUACUAUUUUUUGCAUUCUUAUUCAUCCUGCUUAACUCAAAAUUUGAUUAUUCGAUACAAAUGUUGAUUAUGAGUCAAUCAACGUUUAUCUUUUGCAUCUAUCAUAGUUUAAUCUUGACGGACACCACAUUCCACAAUUAGUUUAGAUUUAGUAGAUUAUAUCAGUGUUUUAAACAAUAUUAGGAAAAAUAUUUGGAACAUAUUUUAGAGAGCUCAUUUAUAAUGGGCUCUCGUAGCCAUUACUUCUAUAAUUGACACCUAUUAUGAAAAACGAUUGCACGUUUGUCCUAGGCUUAAUCACAAUUAUGUUGCAUUGAUAUUAAGGUGACACCACAUGGCAUUAAGGUAUUGGUCAACAUGACACUAAGGCGGUGGCCAUAUAAGACUAUGGUAUUGAUCACUUGAUGCUAAGGUAUUAUUUAUAUGUUUUUGAUGUGUCAACUAUAUGACACAAUAAAGAAGACUUAGAAUGUAUCAACUAAUUCGAAAAGAAGACAACACCUUGAUUCAUUAUUUAAUCAUGCCACAAGACUACUUGAAUUAUAUAUUUACAUAAUAAUUGAGUUUGUUCGAUCUACAAGGUAUAUUUCUUAAAUAUUGUAAACAUUGCUUAGUUAUAAAAACAUAUAGAGUUGCCUUUCAUACUUAUUCAACAUCUAGAAGAUCAAAUAUUAUUGAUAUGAUUCACACUGAUGUCUGUACUAUACAAAACUGAUGUCUGUACUAUGCAAACUAGAAUUCUUAGAUGUACCCUUUAUUUUGUUACUUUCAUUGAUGAAAAGUUUGGGUAUUUGCUUUAAAAUCUAAAGACUAGGUACUCGAUGUUUUCAAAGAAUUUCAUGUCAUUAUUAAAAGAGAAAAUAGUAGAAAACUAAAGUGUGUUCAAGUAGAUAAUGGUGACGAGUACAGGGGUUCUUUUGAGAAUUAUUAUAGGUUCCAUAGUAUCAGGCUUGAUAAAACAGUUUCUAAAACUUCUCAGCAAAACAGUAUGAAAGAAAGGAUAAACAAAACUAUUGAAGAAAGAAUUAGGUGUAUGUUUUGCCAUGCUAAGUUAUCUAAGUCAUUUUGGGGGGAGGCUAUAAGAACUAUGAUUGAUAUAAUAAAUCUUUCUUCAUCAGUUUCUCCGAAAGGUGAUGUUCCAGAGAAAGUAUGGAAAGGAAAAUAUAUAUCUUAUAAUCACUUGAGAGUUUUUGGGUGUUAAGCAUUUGGUUAUAUUCCCAAAGAUGAGAGGUCCAAGCUUGAUAAUAAGGUAAAAGUAUGAAUCGAUAUAGUCACGAAGAGUUUGGGUACAGAUUAUGAGAUCCAGUGAACAAGAAGAUUAUUAGAAGCAUAGAUAUUAUGUUUCUUGAAAAUCAAUUAUUUGAUAAUGGUGAUAAUGUUGGGAAGCUCAAAACCUCUAUUUAUAUUCUUUAGAGUUUGGGUUCAAUUCGUUUACUUAUAGUUCAUGAUAAUCAUAUGGGAGAUGAACAAGAUAAUCGUGUUGAGAAUGCUAGUAAUGAUGCUCCUAUAGUUGAUGAUAUUAAACUAACUAAAAAAUAUCUCUAACUAAGAAACAUCUCUACCACUAGUUGAGAUUCUAUUGAGAAGAAACAAAUCUUCGACUCCAUACUUCGUCCAAACACCAUAAACAAAUUUCUCAACAAGUGAGAAACAAGUCUAGGUUCAAGUUCCGCCCUCCUCUCAGCUCCUUCAACCCUUCCUCCUACGCUUCUAAUCAUUUCUUUGAGCAAAUCAGUCUCUGAAUAGUUCUUCGUGACGCACAACCAUGCUCGAAUCGGAUAGUUUUGUAUGAUCCUUUCAUCAUUGAAUACUUUACGCGCUAGAGUGGUCUUCCCAAUCCCACCCAUCCCGACAAUCCCAAAAACAACACACGUUGGAUUCUCACUGAUCUCUAUUAUGGAUUUGAUCAGAUUUUGGGCAGGGCCUAUGAUUUGGGUUCCUAUGAUAUCUGCCUUAACCUCUAUGGAAGAUGUCUCACGAGAUCUUACCGGGUGAAUUGGGAUGUCUUUUUCAGCGAUCUCUACAUCAGGUAUUAUAGAUCUAUCUUCCGUGAGCUCUUUCAGUGUUGCUUACCGGGUGAUUUGAUAGCGGUGUUUGAUAGAUCCAAAGUAAGAAGAACUUCGCGAGCUGGAAGGAUUGCUUACCGCAAAAGUCGUCGAUGCCCGGCUCUUCAGCAAGCUGCCACCUUCGAUGACGCAAAGAUCGAUGAUAUCAUCGGCGUCGUACUUGACAUGCCUCCUUCAACUCCCUCACCCUGGUGUCCAUUGCUGGAUCUACAUGCCUCCUUUGCUCUGCAGUGCGAAGAAAGCCUUUGAUCCUCGUCAACCUUCUCUCGAGCAUUUCGACCUCCGCCCUCACGCAUAGCACUUUGCAUAUCUCUCCCUCCGCAAAGUUGGCUAUCUUUUGGAGGAACCUUUCUACGAAAAACUCUAACACCAUUGCCAUCUCGUAACACGGCUCAAGAAGAUCCAAGUGAGUGUCUACAAAUUGAAGGUCUGUUUCCUCUGAUACGAUCUACGUCGAGCAUAAAUAUGUUCCGGAAUCAAGGCCCGAUUUCCGAUAAGGGAGGAGUCUUCGACAGCAUGCAUGUGCCCAUUGGUCCAAUUGCCAGCUUCUUCAACACUCUACAUGUCAUGAAAUAAAUAAUCUGCCUUAUUUUCUUAUGAUUUGUCGGUCUUUGUUUAUUAUGUGAUGAAAUAAAUAGUCUGCAUGUGACUCGUGUGGCAACAUUAUAUUAUAUAUAUAGAAACUCA
rnacentral:lncRNA from 1 species